rnacentral:snRNA from 1 species
UACCGCCUCGGUGGUACAUAUACUAAAAUUGGAACGAUACAGAGAACAUUAGCAUGGCCCCUGCGCAAGGAUGAGACGCAAAAUCGUGAAGCGUUCCAUAGAUUU